rnacentral:rRNA from 1 species
CGACAGGCGGUGGAGCAUGUGGUUUAAUUCGAAGCAACGCGAAGAACCUUACCAGGCCUUGACAUGCAGAGAACUUUCCAGAGAUGGAUUGGUGCCUUCGGGAACUCUGACACAGGUGCUGCAUGGCUGUCGUCAGCUCGUGUCGUGAGAUGUUGGGUUAAGUCCGUAACGAGCGCAACCCUUGUCCUUAGUUACCAGCACGUUAUGGUGGGCACUCUAAGGAGACUGCCGGUGACAAACCGGAGGAAGGUGGGGAUGACGUCAAGUCAUCAUGGCCUUACGGCCUGGGCUACACACGUGCUACAAUGGUCGGUACAAAGGGUUGCCAAGCCGCGAGGUGGAGCUAAUCCCAUAAAACCGAUCGUAGUCCGGAUCGCAGUCUGCAACUCGACUGCGUGAAGUCGGAAUCGCUAGUAAUCGUGAAUCAGAAUGUCACGGUGAAUACGUUCCCGGGCCUU